rfam:Triticum aestivum genome assembly, contig: Triticum_aestivum_CS42_TGACv1_scaffold_345148_4DL
CAACUACUCCCUCUGUCCCAAAUUUCUUGUCUUAGAUUUGUCUAGAUACGGAUGUAUCUAAUACUAAAAUGUGACUUGAUACAUCUGUAUCUAGACAAAUCUAAGACAAGAAUUUUGGGACAGAGGGAGUACUUU